rnacentral:lncRNA from 1 species
CUUUUCUAGAUGUUUUGGUUUUUUUCUUUAAAUUUUUUGAGUUUUAGCAGUAUUUCCAUAUGCAUUAAAAACAUCCCCUUCCAUGUGAUCAUUACCCCUUGGUUUCUGCUAUGGCUUGUUCAUGUGUCAGACAAAGGCCUCUGGGGUAGGACUGAGACCUAAGGGCCUUGGCCUGUGGGGUCAGAGGAGCUGUUUGCAGAUGGAGCUUCUUCCUGUGGUCAGGGUCAGGAUGCUGAGGCUCUUUCUGCUUCCCCUUUCUUCCAUUCCUGGCCAUGAGGUGAGCAGCUGCCUCUGUCAUACACUCAUGAUGACACGUAGCCUCACCACAAACCGCAAAGCAAUGGGCAAACGGACGACCAUUCAUGGGCUGGGUCCUCCAAAACCAUGAAGACAAGUAAACUUUUCUACUUUUUAAGUUGAUUGUCUUCGGGUAUUUUAUUGCAGCAAUGGGAAAUUGAUAGCUUCGUUUCUAGUAUAAUUUGAUAUUCCAAGACAUAUGUAUAAUCAUAACACAUAAUAUCUUCCAGAUUUAUUGACUUGGAUUAAAAAGUCUCCCUUGUCACAAGCAUAAAACAUGGCUCCUUACAUUUACUUUGUCUGAUUUUUAUUUGAAUAUUUUUACAUUUGAUUUGCGCAGAGUGUUUUAUAUAGAUGAAGGCAGCGUUCGAUUUUUCUUUUUCUAAAAAUAUAUUAUUUAUGAGUAUGUGUGUGUGCAGCGCGUAUGUGAGGACUCCAGAAGAGGAUGUCAGGUCUCCUGGAUAUGGAGUCACAAGCAGUUAUGAGCUGUCUACACGGGUGCUGAGAACCCAAGUUGGGUCCGCAUCAAGAGCAACAAGCAUCCCUAACCACUGGACCAUCUUUCCAGCCCUCUCUUCUUUUGUUUGAUGAGUGGUUAGUGGCACUAACACAUCGGAUAGGUAAAUCACAGACCAAUUCAAGAGCGGUAGCAUGAAUAGUAUAGUUAAAAAGCAGGUAGACUGAUUUGGGGUAUCAGUUCCACCACUUCCUGUCUAUGGAACCUUAAGUAUGUGUGCUGGCUAAUUUUUAUGCCAACUUGACACAGUUAGAAUUGGUAAUAAAUAUCCUGAGACUGACUCUAAGACUGUAGGACUCUCUCUCUGGAUGUGGGAGGAGACAGCCCACUGAAGGUGUCACUAUCCUGAAGUCAGCUUGGCCAUAAACCAUGGUGACCUCACAGAGGUUAGCCGCAGAAACAGGGUGGCAUCUCUAUGGUUGCCUGCAGACUUACUGUUCACCCCUGGUCCCUUGUGACUGACUUUUCCUUCAGACAUCUGAGGACAGAGUUUCCAGAGCUCUGAAGUGCUUCAUCCCUGAAUGUCAUCUCUGUUUCCUCCAUGGCAGGAACUCAGAGGCCACUUUAUUGUGAGAAGGGAAAUGGAAGGGCAUCUAUGGCCAGACUUCCCUCAGGGAGCCUGGCUUCUCUGUCCUGACAGGUCUGUAACCUUGUCCUUCCUCUAAGUCUCUUUCAAACCCUCUUUUCAUUAGCACCAUAAAAGUCUUGCACAGAGCUGUCUUGCUGUUCCUGAUUUCUUGGGCAUCACUUCCCAGCAUGGGAAGCUGAGGCUACUCAGGGAACCCCACGCCGAGUGGCUGGUGGAGGAUUUCCCAGAAGCAGCGAGUCCUGAGGAGGUGCUGCACCAUAACUGUGCUGAGGCUCUGGUAGAAGAGAUCAUUAAGACUUGUUUUUCUGGACCAAGAAUAGGAGGUAUAUUUUACACGCUACAUCCUAUUCUCUGGACUCUGAGGCCUUGUCCUGCUCACUGAGCAUCUAUAUGCAGGAACUGGUGAGUCUUUCUUCCAUCCUGCUGUAGCACCGGACCUAUCUUCUUGCCUUGGAGCUCAGCUGACACCCCUCUUCCCGUGGCCUGGCCACCCAAUCACAAUGUCUAGAGCAGUGGUUCUCAAGCCCCCAUCAGUCAGGGCUUCUUGUCAUUGUCUCCAAAGGUCAAGGAAGAUAUUUCCAGAAAACAUUUUGGCAUGUGUGCUAUGUGUGGAAACAUGACCAAGGGACAGGAGGAAAAAGCAGAGACCCUUUAAGGCGGUUCCUCACCCUGUGGUGACCCCAAUCAUAAAAGUAUUUCCAUUGCUACUUCAUAACUGUAACUUUGCUACUGUUACAAUCUGUAAUGAUAUCUGAUAGGUGACCCGCAAAGGCUCACAAGGACUUAACUGGGCAGAGAACACAAAACUGGUAUGAGGUACUGCUGAAGCCGGAGGGAUCGUGUUAGUUUCCUAUCAUUUCUGUGAUGAAGAGCCUCAGACUCGGGGUUGAUUAUCCUCUGUCUGGUACCUUGCCUGCUGGGGAUGUUGGCAGAGCAUCAUUCCAUGCAGAGGCCUGGUGAGUUAGGCUCUACCCUGCUCAGAUUUCUACGCCCCUGGGCCCCUUACUGCUCACCUCUCCCUUUCUUCCUGUAAGUUAGAAUCUCUUGAAAGGUGAAUUAUUUACAUUUCUUUUAUACUUUGCUUUUAAAUUUGUAA